rnacentral:rRNA from 1 species
UACGUAGGGAGCAAGCGUUGUCCGGAAUCAUUGGGCGUAAAGAGCGUGUAGGCGGCUCGGUAAGUCCGCUGUGAAAGUCCAGGGCUCAACCCUGGAAUGCCGGUGGAAACUGUCGAGCUAGAGUCCGGAAGAGGCGAGUGGAAUUCCUGGUGUAGCGGUGAAAUGCGCAGAUAUCAGGAGGAACACCGAUGGCGAAGGCAGCUCGCUGGGACGGUACUGACGCUGAGACGCGAAAGCGUGGGGAGCAAACAGG